CGUGAAAUUGUUGAAAGGGAAACGCUUGAGGUCAGUCACAUUGGCUGGAAAUCAACCUUGCUUUUGCUGGGCGUACUUUCUGGUCAAUGGGUCAGCAUCAAUUUUGACCACUGGAAAAAGUGUAAAGGAAUGUGGCAUCUUCGGAUGUGUUAUAGCCUUUACUUGCAUACAGUGGUUGGGAUUGAGGAACUCAGCACGCCGCAAGGCCGGGUUUCGACCACGUUCGUGCUUAGGAUGCUGGCAUAAUGGCUUUAAUCGACCCGUCUUGAAACACGG
rnacentral:rRNA from 1 species